rnacentral:rRNA from 1 species
GACGAACGCUGGCGGCGUGCCUAAUACAUGCAAGUCGAGCGGAUUUUCGGAAGCUUGCUUCCGAAAAUUAGCGGCGGACGGGUGAGUAACACGUGGGCAACCUGCCUGUAAGACUGGGAUAACUUCGGGAAACCGGAGCUAAUACCGGAUACAUUCUUCCCUCGCAUGAGGGAAGAUGGAAAGACGGUUUUGCUGUCACUUACAGACGGGCCCGCGGCGCAUUAGCUAGUUGGGGGGGUAGUGGCCCAGCCAGGCGACGAUGCGUAGCCGCCCUGAGAGGGUGACCGGCCACCCUGGGACUGAGACACGGCCCAGACUCCUACGGGAGGCAGCAGUAGGGAAUCUUCCGCAAUGGACGAAAGUCUGACGGAGCAACGCCGCGUGAGCGAAGAAGGCCUUCGGGUCGUAAAGCUCUGUUGUCAGGGAAGAACAAGUACCAUAGUAACUGAUGGUACCUUGACGGUACCUGGCCAGAAAGCCACGGCUAACUACGUGCCAGCAGCCGCCGUAA